UCAUCCAUAGAACGUCAGUUUACAAAUAACUAUUUAUUUUGUAUUUUUGUGUAGAGAACAACUGUAAAAUUAGUGUGGUGCUCUGUACUUGGAUGUGCAAACUACAAGCAAGCACAGGCUGUUGGGGUAACAUUUCAUUGGUUACCUUACUAAGAAGUCAAGCAGAGAGUCCAAUUCCAUCAACAUCUAUAGCAGCAUAAACAUCGGGCUAAGCACCAGGACCCUUUGCUAAAUCUUUCCAUGACUCCAUGAUGAGCAAAUAAAUAUACUGGAGGUUAUGAGAAUCUACCAUCUGAAGCUGAAGCAAUAUUCCUUGACCCAAGGACUUUACUUGAAAUGAUACAAGAUCAGUCCUUAUCAACCAGUGGAACGGAAGAAGAAUUCCUCACUACCAGCAGACUGUCCGAA